UACGAAGGGUGCAAACGUUGCUCGGAAUUAUUGGGCGUAAAGCGCACGUAGGCGGCCUUGUAAGUCGGAUGUGAAAUCCCUCGGCUUAACCAAGGAAGUGCAUCCGAAACUACAGAGCUUGAGUACUUAAGAGGAUCGCGGAAUUCCCGGUGUAGAGGUGAAAUUCGUAGAUAUCGGGAGGAACACCAGUGGCGAAGGCGGCGAUCUGGGAAGAUACUGACGCUGAGGUGCGAAAGCGUGGGGAGCAAACAGG
rnacentral:rRNA from 1 species